AUUGAACGCUGGCGGCAGGCCUAACACAUGCAAGUCGAGCGGGGUUUUCGGACCUAGCGGCGGACGGGUGAGUAAUGCGUAGGAAGCUGCCCGAUAGAGGGGGAUACCAGUUGGAAACGACUGUUAAUACCGCAUAAUGUCUACGGACCAAAGUGUGGGACCUUCGGGCCACAUGCUAUCGGAUGCGCCUACGUGGGAUUAGCUAGUUGGUGAGGUAAUGGCUCACCAAGGCGACGAUCUCUAGCUGGUUUGAGAGGAUGAUCAGCCACACUGGAACUGAGACACGGUCCAGACUCCUACGGGAGGCAGCAGUGGGGAAUAUUGGACAAUGGGCGCAAGCCUGAUCCAGCCAUGCCGCGUGUGUGAAGAAGGCCUUCGGGUUGUAAAGCACUUUCAGCGAGGAGGAAGGGAUGUAUGUGAAUAGCAUGCAUUUUUGACGUUACUCGCAGAAGAAGCACCGGCUAACUCUGUGCCAGCAGCCGCGGUAA
rnacentral:rRNA from 1 species